rnacentral:lncRNA from 1 species
GGCACAGAUCCACAUCCUAUCCGGUUACUCAUCCAGCCCAGUGCCCAGGACUUCGAGGGGCGUGCCGUCUUUCCCGUCAGGCUCCCCAUGCUCUGGCAGCCUAUACACUGAGAGAUGCCCUGAGGCCCCUGUGGACUUGAAAACUGGCAAAAAUUCCAAAUAUCCUCGGUUUUCCCAGCCUGGACGAUGAUUCCUUGGCCUUCGAGUUGCCUGGUGGGGGUGAAGCAUGGCCCAGGGUGGAGGACAGUGGCCAGGUACCUGCUAUCGUCUCCGAGUUGGUCCCUGAAUGGCUCUAGGACGAGGUCUUGUAUCCUGCUUUGUCAUCCAGGCUGGAGUUCAGUGGCAAUUCACAGGUGUGAUCAUAGCUCACUGCAGCCUCGACCUUCUGGGCUCAAGCGAUUCUCCUGUCUCAGCCUCCGGAGUAGCUGGGACCACAGGUAUGUGCCAACACACCUGGCUGCUAUUCUGUGAUGGCAGCCCAAACACACUGGGUGAAGCAUGAUUUGAGGAGAAGUCUUCACUGUGGUUUUCUGUGUGAUUUUCAGCCAUUGAUACAAGUAUUUAUUGAGAGGCUACUUUGUACCCGGCACUCCUCCAAGUUGGGUUAGCAUGCAUUUUCUGUAAGGGACCAGGUGGUAACUAUUUAGGGUGUUGGCCAGUUGUAAUGCUAAGUAGUCAUGGACACCACGUAAACAAAUGAGUGUGGCUUCCUUCAAUAAGACUUUGAUUAUGAAAACAGGCUGCAAAGCUGCGCGGUGGUGCACGCCUGUAGUCACAGCUGCUUUGGAGGCUGGUCCCGGGAGGACCCUACCCUAGAAACCUCCCCAAGAACCACUGUACUGCUCUUCCUACGAGGACUGAAUUCUCAUUUUGUGCCGUUCUUGGCACAUUUGCUCGGCACUGUCUCUACCUCUCUCCCUGUAUCUCUGUGCCAAGUCUUAGAGGGCAGGAUCCAUGUCUGUUGCUCCUCUGGGUGUAGGAAUUUGAGACCAGCCUGGGCAACAUAGCAAGACUCUUGUCUCUUUAAAGCAAAACCCCAGAACAGGCCACAGGCCAGAUUUGGCCUCUAGCUGACUUCAAACCAAAACCAGGCCCAAUGAGCCUGUCUCUAUGGAAUUUACACUCAAGUGGGGGAAGGCAGACAGGAAACAGUAAUAUAAUAAAUGUGUAAAUCUCUGCAUAUGUGAGACGGUAAGAUGGUGGUGUAGAGAAAUGGAGUGGGCUUCAGUGGCAUGUGCUGGUGCUGGCUGUGCACAUCUCUUUGCAGCGAGCUCACGUUAGUGGCUGGAAAUGGGCCGUGAUGGGAGCCCUUACCCCAGAGAGAUCAGCCGUGGCUACCCAUCAGGGCUCCCUGGGAGCUGGUCGGUAAACAUUCACCACACUGCCAUCAGGGGAUGGGGGGUGCUGCGUUUUAAGUUUUAGAAGACUGGUCUGGGUGGGUCUUCUUGAGGAGGAGACAUUUGAGGAAAGAAUUGAAGGAGGGCAGGGUGAGCCUGUGGCUUCCAGGGGAAAGGGUGUCCCACGUGGAGGGAGCAGUGGAUGGUGGGAGGGCUGGAGGAACAGCAAGGACUAGGGUGGGAGACCUGGGCCAUGGACGUUGCAAACCAGGUGAAGCCCUGGCAGGAGGGGAGGCGGGGAGGCUGCUCAGAGGCUACGGCAGGAGUCCAGGUGAGAUGAUGGCUGCUCUGUGCACGGUAGUAACAGUGGUGGCACCAACGUGACAUAUGACCCAUCAGGUGGCAGCUGGGAUAAAAGGAGUCAUGUGCUCAGGUGUUUGGACUUAGCAACUGGAGAGACGCAGUUGCCUUUUCUUUCUUUCUUUUUUUGAGACAGUCUUGCUCUGUUGCCCAGGCUAGAGUGCAGUUGUGCAGUCUCAGCUCACUGCAACCUCCGCCUCCCGUGUUCACUAAUAACCUCCCACCAUGACCAACUGGUUGUCACUACCUAAAAGGAGGGUCAGAUAGCAACUUUGGGCAGAAGUUUGAAAGGUGGCUGAAAUCCUGCUGUAGAUGUUGACGAGGAGUCGGGUAUUCAAGUCUGGACUUCAGAAGAGAGAUCUGGCCAGGCAUGGGGGCUCACGCUUAUAAUCCCAGCACCAUGGGAGGCCAAGGUAGGAGGAUUGCUUGAGGUCCAGAGCUCCAAACCGGCCUAGCCAAUUCAACAAGACCCUUCUCUACAAAAAAAAAAAAAAUUAAAACUUAACGUAUAGUGGCACAUGUCUGUAGUGCCAGCAGCUUGGGAGUUUGUGGGGGAGAUCACUUGAGUUGAAGGCUGCAAUGAAUUAUGAUGGUGCCAUCACACUCCAGCUGGGGCAACAGAGCAAGACCCUGUCUCAGAGAAAAAAAAAGGACAGAUCAGUCAGGAGUUAUUUACGUGUGGGUGAUUUUUAUUUUAUUUUUAUUUAUUUAUUUUUAAUUUUUAUUAUUAUUUUUGAGACGGAGUUUCGCUCUUGUUACCCAGGCUAGAGUGCAAUGGCGCAAUCCCAGCUCACCGCAACCUCCGCCUCCUGGGUUCAGGCAAUUCUCCUGCGUCAGCCUCCUGAGUAGCUGGGAUUACAGGCACGUGCCACCAUGCCCAGCUAAUUUUUUUGUAUUUUUAGUAGAGAUGGGGUUUCACCGUGUUGACCAGGAUGGUCUUGAUCUCUUGACCUCGUGAUCCACCCACCUCAGCCUCCCAGAGUGCUGGGAUUAUAGGCAUGAUCCACUGCGCCCAGCCCAUGUGGGUGAUUUUUAACUCGUCAGAGGAAUGGUAACAAUGAAGUACAGAAGAGCAUUGAGGACUGAGCCCUGGGGCCUGCCAGUGUUUGGAAAUUGAGAUCAAAGAUUCCCACAAAGAAGGCAGAAAAUGAGGGAAGAGGUAAGGAAGAAAGAGGUGAUUUUCAUGUCCAAGUAGAAACCCCUGGAAAUCAUAAUUCAAAGUCUAGCUCAGGCCAGGCGCAGUGGCUCAUGCCAGUAAUCCCAGCACUGUGGGAGGCCAAGGCCAGAGGAUCACCUGAGGUCAGGAGUUCAAGACUAGCCUAGCCAACGUGGUUAAAUCCCGUCUCUACUAAAAAUACAAAAAUUAGCCAGUCAUGGCAUGUGCGUAUAGUCCCAGCUACAUGGGAGGUGGAGACACAAGAAUUGCUUGAACCUGGGAGGCGGAGGUUGUAGUGAGCCAAGAUUAUGCAACUGCUCUCCAGCCUGGGCAACAGAGAGAUUCUGUCUCAAAAAAUAUAAUAAAUAAAAAUAAAAAUAAUUAAAACAAAGGCUAGCUCAAAAUCUCCUCCUCUGGGUGUCCUCCAACCACUCAACCUCCACCGCUCUUCCCUUCCCAUAGUUAUUACACAACCACUCCUGGGGUGCUUCUCACAUACUGUCUUGGGUUAACCAGCAGUCCCAAGAGGAGGUUGGCUCAGCAGUGUGGUGGCUCGAACCUGUAAUCCCAGCUCUUUGGGAGACCGAGGCAGGAGGAUCGCUUGAGGCCAGGAGUUCAAGGUUAACUUGGGGGACAUAGUAAGACCCUGUCUCUAAAAAUUGAGAAGUAACAGGGCAAGGUGGAGUGUUCAUAGUCCCAGCUACUCAGGAGGUUGAGAUAGGAGGAUCGCUUGAGCUUGGGAGGUCGAGGCUGCAGUGAGGUAUGUUAGCAUCACCGUACUCCAGCCUGGGGGACAGACAGAGACCUUGUCUCUAAAAAUAAAAAAUAGAGAGGCUGGGUGUGGUGGCUCACACCUAUGAUCCCAGGACUUGGGAGGCCAAGCCAGGUGGAUCACCUGAGGUCAGGAGUUUGAGACCCGCCUGGCCAACAUGGUGAAACUCUGUCUCAACUAAAAAUACAAAAAUUAACUGGGCAUGGUGGCGGGUGCCUGUAAUCACAGCUACUCGGGAGGUUGAACUUGGAGGCGGAGGUUGCAGUGAGCUGAGAUCACACCAUCACACUCCCGUCCCGGCAACAAGAGCAAAACUCCAUCUAAAAAAAAAAACAAAUAAAAAUAAAAAAUAGAGAAAGAAGAAUGUCUUUGGCUUUCUGAGCGAAAGCCUCAGGGAAGACCCCUAGGUUCCCCAACCCUCACUGCACCCAAUACCCGAGUCACCUUACAGACAGCACCCAUGGGCUCCUGGCUAUGGCCCCUGGCUGGGUAAAUCCUUUCCCUCCCUCGUUCCUUGGUAAAUGUAGGAGGUGGUGACUGGUUUCUUCAAGAGAACAUGUAGAGACUCUAGAGCUGAGCCUAAGGAAUGAGGCUGUGUGGUGGUCCCACCUGCUUCCCUGGGGUCCUUCCUGCAGGCUGUUCUCCCCAGCAGCCCAGGUCACCCUCUUACCUUUGCAGGUAGAUCUGGAGCCCCUGGCGUCAUCGUGCAUACUUGGGAUCAGCCAUGCACUGCAGUAUUCUCCAGGCUGAAGUCAUGGAACCACUUUUAAUUCUCCCGUCAAAGACCAUGGCAUUCCCUCGAAGUGAACCCCAAGAUGGCAGCAGCUGAGGAGGGGGAUGCUGAACAAGUGGCCUGAUGCCUUCUGUCACUGGAUUUUCUCUGGACCAACUAUGCUGUUCACUUUUGUCCUUGAGGUUCAUGCACAUGGAGAGAGAGCUCUAGUCCGGGCACAUUUUCCUUCCACGAGGUCCCUAUGGUCAGGAUACCUCCCCAGAACCACCCUUUCUCUUUCCAUGAGGACAAAGCCCUAUUUUUUUUUUUUUUUGACACAGGGUCUCCUGCGGCUCCGUCUGGGCUCAGGCGAUCCCCUGACCUCAGCCUCCUGAGUAGCUGGGACUACAGGGAUACCACCAUGCCUUACUAAUUUUUUGGAUUCUUUAGUAGAGACAGGGGUUUCAUCUUGUUGCCCAGGCUGGUCUUGAACUCCUGAGCUCAAGUCAUCUCCCCGCCUCCGCUUCCCAAAGUGCUGGGAUUACAGGCGUGAGCCACUGUGCCAGGCAGUCCUCUCUUUUGUGCUGUUCUUGAUACAUUUGGUUGUCACUUUCUCUACUUCUCUCCCUGUAUUUAUUUUUUUUUAGAUGGAGUCUUGUUCUGUUGCCCAGGCUGGAGUGCAGUGGCAUAAUCUCUGCUCACUGCAACCUCCACCUCCCUGGGUUCAAGCAGUUCUCCUGCCUCAACCUCCUGAGUAGCUGGGAUGACAGGUGCCCACAACCAUGCCUGGCUAAUUUUUUUUAUUUUUAGAAGAGGCAGGGUUUCACCAUGUUGGCCAGGCUGGUCUUGAACUCCCGACUUCAGGUGAUCCACCCUCCUUGGCCUCCCUAAGUGCUGGGAUUACAGGCAUGAGCCACUGUGCCUGGCCUGUGUUUCUGCACCGAGUCUUGGAGGGCAGGAUGGAUGUCCUCUGUUGCUCUAUAAAUCUGCUCUCCAUAUUGCAGCCAGAGGACUGACCCCUCUUUAAAGCUCCAAGAUCAUGUGCUUUUUCUUAAAACCAGACUCAGAACAGUGCCCUACUUACAACUGAGCUCAAUGGUGGUUUGA